rnacentral:rRNA from 1 species
CACGUAGGGGGCAAGCGUUGUCCGGAUUUAUUGGGCGUAAAGAGCUCGUAGGCGGUUCGGCAAGUCAGCUGUGAAAUCUCCACGCUCAACGUGGAGGGGUCAGCUGAUACUGCUGUGACUUGAGUCCGGUAGGGGAGUGUGGAAUUCCCGGUGUAGCGGUGAAAUGCGCAGAUAUCGGGAGGAACACCAGUAGCGAAGGCGGCACUCUGGGCCGGUACUGACGCUGAGGAGCGAAAGCGUGGGGAGCAAACAGG